CGGACAGAGCUGGCGUAUCUGGCCUGUAUUCAGCCGUGCGCUCGCCGGCGUCAGAGAUGCCGCUCUCCAGAUUGGGACGGUGCCUGUCUGCUGGUGGGUGUGUGGUGCAUUUGCAGGUGGAGUGCGCUGAGGUGCUCGGUGCAGCGGCAUGAGCUCAGCCUUGAGGCCAGCCUCGCAAGAGGUCUGGUACCCGGGCUGUGGGAGUGCUGUUUGUGCUGGGUAGGCAAUCGGGGGCAAUGGUUUCGGGCUCGUGUGGGKGCCGAGCUGGCAUUUGGUGGCGGUCGCAUGCGACACGUACCUACGGUCAGUUCGGUCCUGCCCGAGCUCACAUCUGCUCUUCCUCGGUGUAAAAGCCGGUCAUCUGUCCGACCCGUCUUGAAACACGGACCAAGGAGUUUAGCGUGUGCGCGAGUCAUUGGGUGUUGAAAACCCAAGGGCGCAAUGAAAGUGAAGGUCUCCCUUGCGGAGCUGAUGUGUGAUCCUGGUCACCGCGGUGCAUCCAGGCGCAACAUAGUCCCGUCCUGACCGCUUGCGGUGGGGCGGAGACAGAGCGUACGCGCUGAG
rnacentral:rRNA from 1 species